GAGAAGAGAAGAGAAGAGAAGAGAAGAGAAGAGAAGAGAAGAGAAGAGAAGAGAAGAGAAGAGAAGAGAUCCCCAUAAUCUUGUACUAACUUUUCCAGGCUUGGAUUAUCCAGCCUUCUCAACUGGCAUAUGCUUUGCAGCAGCAAACUCCAACCCCAUAUUCAUGUAUAUGUCUGAGUAGCCAACACGGUCUGUAACAAGCGCUGAAGCCAAAUAUUAACUCAACUUAAUAACCAUGCACGAGCUCUUCUCUCAAAUAUAAACAUUAAUUAGUUGAUUGUAUAUUCUGUCCCAAAGACCAAGCUUGUUCUAACACUUCCCUGUGCUUCUUCACUUCUUGUCUGACAUACUUUGCUGAUCAUCCCUCCAUUUCCCCUCUCCUUUCAGAUGCUAUAUAUAUAUCUAUCUAUAUCUAUCUCAAGGUGUUCAUGCUGUAAGUGUAGUGGUUUUUUCUCCAAGGAUUUUGCUCUGUCUUUUUCUGAGAUUUAGAACCUGAGUAUUUAUAGUACCUUCAACUGAAAUGAAUUCUCGUCUUCUGUCACACUUCUGUCCCUCAGCAGUUUGCUGCAUCUUCCCCAACUUGUUUCUGGUUUCAGUUUUUUCUUUUUUUUGUUGUGCUUUUUUUUUUCCUCCCAAAUAUUUCAUUUCAAAAUUAGGUACUUUAUUAUUUCUGUAUGUUUACUUUUUAAUUUACAGUCUUGCAGCUCUGGUUAUUUUCAACACUGUGUGUGGUUUAAAAACUUACUUUAAUGAUGUUUAAAAUAUUUCCUCUCCUGCAUGUUAAUUUUUUGGGGUUAAUCUCUCAACUGCCAUGUCCAAGAUGAAAUGAUUCUGUGAAUAUUUGCUUUAUUUAUUUCUCAUUCUAUAUCUAGUAACUGGAGAUUCUCAUAGAUAUAUUACUGUAACUGGAGGGUUUUUUUACCUCCAAAAGCACCAUGAAGCUCUCUCUGCUUAUAUAUCUGACUCAAAACUUCCCAGUGUCAUGCUUGUAAUUCAUCUUUUAUCAUGUGUCUCAACAUGUCUUUGACUCCAAAAGAUUGUGCUUUAUGCAUCUCAUAUCUUUCUUAUUUCCUGAAGUCUUUCAUAUCCUUAAAAUAAAUCACCUUAUGUCUUUAUUUCUGUGAGUUUUGAGCAAAGCAAAUCUUUUCAUACCUCUGCUCCUGCCAUGGCUGCUCUCCUAACAUGCUUCUGCUACCUGGAGAAUGUUAUUUCUCAGGUCCUGCACUAAGAGUUCUUGUUUUUCAGUUUUGCCACUGAGACUGCUGGCAAUAAUUUGUAGCAUUUCAAUUGCUUUCUACUGACCAGAAACUAAUUUCCUCAGCUGGAUUAAUCUCUCACUAUCAGUUUCAGCUAACUGGCUGGAGGUCUCAUCUGUAUGAGUACCUUCUGCUUACUAUCCAUUCUCCUGACCACUGAUAAUCUCUUAUCCACUGCUGUGCCUUAUCUAUCAGAUUUCUUUUCCCCUGUAUAUUAAGUCUACAAAAAGAUGAGUAGAAAGGUUAAUAAACAGAAUAUUAACCCUCAGCAGGGGAAGCAAGUAUUUUUACUUAGUUUAAAAAGUCAUUACAAAAUUUAAUUUUUAUGGAUUUGAACAAAUUUGAGGGAAAGGCAAAAAUGCUAUUAGUCAUAAACUCAACUUCUUUAACUGAAAAAAUAUGCUUUAGUGCAAAAUGAGAAAGUUUAGAAACUGCUGUUGAUCGUCAUCACCCCAUUUUGUUCUGUUUUCAGUUGUCAUGAAUUGACUCUGAGCACAAUGACAACUAAAGAAGGCUGUUUCCUUCAGGCAUUAUUUCAUUUAAACACCUUUCUGAAAUGAAUGUAUAGCAGGCAUCUGUAGAACAUAUGAAAGCCAGCUAUUACUGAGAUGCCUAAGAGGAUAUUUAGAGGACUGUAAAUAACUGAGAUGCCACCACUUCUUGAAAUACCCCUUGUAAGCAUUUUAUUCAGAUUUACUGCUGAGGUGCAGUAAAUGCAUAAGAUUUGUCCAUUGCAAGUAUAAGAUAAAAUGCACUAAUUUAUAUAACCUGAAGACUGUUUAAAAAUAAAGAAAUCAUUUGAAAUUUCAUUUAAACCUUUGUCCUUCAAGUUUUUGUUUAGUACUAUGAAGGGAAGCAUGGCUAUACCUUGCUUACAGGAAUAACCCAACAGGCUUAGAGCCAACUGGCUUACAAGACAAUAAAAUUUUGGUUUUUUAGUGAUGUUGUGUAACCCUUAACUGUUUUGAUGUAAUUUACAAUGGUUUAGCUUUAGUAUUUUUAAUUCCCCUUUUGUUGUUUGCUAUAAAAUUGAGGUGACGCGGAGUUACUAUUUGUUAAAUGAGCUAAAUGAGACAAGAGCUGCAUUAAUCAGCCAUUCAGAUACAAAACACUUCCUUACAUAUGCCUGUUGAUUUUCAUUACCUAAAUCUUCUUUUAAAGAUUUUAUUUCACUUUCUAAUUCAAAUAUUUGAUUGUUUUAAAACAAAAAAUAAUUUUAAAGCAAAAAGGAUUCUUACAGUACAGCAGUAUUUGUCUGGGAGAAUCUAGAGGUCCUGAAGUUGCUCAGACUCUUCCGAAUUAAGAUUUUGUACAAGGUUUUGCAAAGAACAUUUCAUUGUUACUGCAACCACCACAAAGAAUCCUCUCUCUUUUUGUGAAGCAGAUUUAAUCCACCCACUGCAAGUCUCUGAUGGUCACAGUGUGCUGUUUGACCUCUCCCUGUGCUUCUCUUUGAGGGGAGAAAGGCUCUGGCCCUGUCUGUUGCACUGCCAGCAGCUCCGCAGCUGCCCCUGCCCUGCUCGGCACAUAGAGCUGCCAGGAACCUGCUCCCUUCGCUGCUCAGAGGAGCACUGACCAACCUGUGUCAGCAAUGGGGGCUUUCCUCUUCUCCUUGCAACACCUUCACCCCAGAUACCUCAGAAUCACAGAAUAUGCUGAGUUGGAAGGGACCCACAAGGAUCACCAAGUCCAGCCCUGGCCCUGUACAGGCCAUCCCUCAGAGUCACACCAUGGGCCUGAGAGCGUUGUCCAAACACUUCUUGAACGUUGUCGAGCUUGGUGCUGUGACCACUUCCCUGGGGAGCCUGUUCCUGUGCCCAACCACCCUCUGAGUGAAGAACUUUCCUUUGUAAUAUCUGACCUAACCCUCCCUCAUGCAACUUCAGGCCAUUCCAUCACACUCGUAGGUUCUGGCCCAGCAUUAGACCACAUAGCUGCUAUGCUUUCACAUGCCUUGAUGGAAGCAUGAUACUCAACGACUUCAGGUUGCAACUACUUAAUAUAUUUGAGAGGGGAAGUGAAAGAAAAAUGAGCAUUUGUGCAGAAACACGAAAAUCUGGCUUGGAGAGUUUCAGUCCAAGGCUGAAAAGAAAGUAGGACAAAGUAAAUAACAGGUAUCUGAAAAUCUAUCUUGCUGGGAUGAUAAUUGUAAAUUGAUUAUGGUUCCUUGUUUCUACAGUAUUAACACAUGGGAAAUUACAUUUAAUAGUUAUUGUUUUUCUAAAAGGAUAAAGUUCACUUCAUGCUACAGUACAUUAAUAUAGUAGAACACUGCAUUAAUACUUUAAUUCAAUGUUUUACUAUUCUUUUAUUGCAGAGAUCUAUUAAGGUACAUAGCUUGGAUUUGCUAAGCUUUGUAGCAGCCUCUUCAUUAGUUUCAAUUUAAGUGAAUAUAUGUCUCUUGUGGUGCACUUUAAUUUGUGAAUUCAAAGUCAAAAAUAGUACCUGUGUUCCCUUCAAAACAUAAAUUACAUACACAAAGUUAGAUCCAAAGGAUUUACACAUAGUCAAACUCCCAAAUAUCAGCCUCUGUUUAAUGCCGGAGAUACUUGAAAAUUCCAGACGCAUCAAGUGCUGAUUCUAAUUUUCACUAAUUCUCCCAAAAUCAGCUUUUUGAUAAGCCCCAAAGCCCUGACAGAUAGUGCUGAACAGCUGGCUGUGUUGCUCACUCCCAAACUCUGACAGAUGCCCUCAGCAAAGGUAUUUCUCUUCCCUCAGAGGUCGUGCCUUGGCAAGCUCACUCGGGGCCUCGUGAAGGGAGUGCUCUUAGUUCACAGUCCAUGGCCGAGAGCACCAUCCAGGCUGGGGAAGAUGAAGGCAGCCCAAAAGGAGGCCAAAUGUUCAGGGGAACAGAUUGUCAAAAUAAAAAUGUAAACACUGAGAUCAUGGCCUCAGCUUACCUCCAAUUUUCUAGUCAGCCUCUGUUUAGUGCGAAUUGCUGAAUCACCAUCAAAAGACUAAAGAAGAUUUAUCUGAUAACAACAUUCCACCUAGUCUUCUGGACUAUUGGCUUAGACCAAAAAAUACUUGCCUGUUAUGGAAAAAUUUGAGCAUGUACAUGGUGAGGGUUUGGAGAGGAGAGGAAGAGGAUGGAGAGGGAAAUGGCAAAUCCUAUAUGAGUUUUUUUGUCCUAAUUGUGAAUAAAAAAAACUAGGUGUGCCUCUCAGGAACACAUAGUGCAGUCCUCUGAUACCUCACUGCUGCACCAAUUUGUGUGAAAGUCCUCCUCAACAGUUAAUCCUGGAAUUUAGUGCAGAUUCCUUUCUCUCCUGGCUCCAUAGGAUGAGUUCAGUAAUUUGUCUGAGACAGGAUUUUUAAAGAGCAACUCUCUUUGGUGGUGUGAGAGAGAGGCAGAGAGACACAUAUGCACUCUUGAGAUCUCCAGUGCCUCAGGGCAUUUCCUAUUUCUUGUAGCAGUGAACUUAUCUGUGCUCCUUCAGAGGGCAAAAAACAAGAUGAAAUAACUUCUACUUUAUCACCAGCCUCGGAAUGUUUCUGUGUUACCCUUUCCUGUCAACCAGUGAGGGCUGCAUUCUCCUUAGGAGUCCCAGGUGAUUAAAUACUGAUUUCUCCUAGACUUGAGAAAGCUGCUUUUGAGUUAGGAGUAUUAAAAGCUAAUCACAAGGAAUAGUCCUACAUGAGAAAUCUUCAGCAAUUUUCUGUCCUCAUUAUCAGUGGGAUAAUCAACUGAAUUAUCGAAUCAGCUUUUUUUCCAGACAAUGAGCUUUCUGAGGUAAACAAAACAAGGCAAAGGCUGUUCACUUUCCUCAGUGACUCCUCUGGGCCACCUGAAUUGCAUUUAUAGUCCUCAUUUUCCAAGAAGUCAGCACUCUCUCAAGUAACCUAAAUGGUCUGGCCACGGUUUUGAGAAUUGGUGGGAUCUAUUGCCUUCCUUCAUUUCCAGGUGUGCAGGGUGAGCUUUCUAAUUCUGAUCAAGAGAAUCCAGGCAGAGCAUGCAUCUAGGUCACACAGAAAACAUGCAUUUGUGCUUGUAUAAAAUGUAUUUGUCUAAGCUGUUAAACAGUGUAAAAUUCAAGGUGUUCAUGUAUCUCAGUGAAGCAGGUUAGUAUUAUUCAACACUAUUCUACAAAUAAGUUCUUUAAAAAUUUUGCCAUUCUAGUUCUCUGGGGGUUCACUUUCCUAAUGAAUUUCAGAGAACAUGUCCCACAUCUGUGAGUGACUCCCACAUCUGUGAGGUACAUUUAGCACAUUAAUUCCCACUGAAAAUGAGAGGUAUUUUGAUGUAUGAAUUCUUUACGAGCUUUUCCAAUGUGUAUCCUAAAUAACUUGCUAGAGGUCACAAAGGGAUUAUUAUUUUGUGAAAUUAAGAAUGUUGCUUUUAUUUCCAGCCAUUACAUCUGAUAUUCUUACCACCUCCAAAACUUGCCAGCAAUUCUAACAUUCCUCAGAAAAUUAUUUCUAGUGAUACUUUAGUGUAAACCACUUCUGUUUUCUGAUGUUGCUGUCGAUUAGCACAACUCAAAUCUGUUUUGCAGAGAACCUAACUUUUAAUGAAAGCUUUGUGAAGACAGAGAAUUUUUUUUUUAAUGAAUGCAAUGUUUGUAACAGUUCACAGCAGAGAGAAAUCACUUAUAUUCUUUUGUCUUAUUUUUAGCAGAUACAUAAUGAUCUCUGGUUAUGUCUUGGAAGGCCCUCAUGCACCUGACCCCUCUCUCCAUGCACUUAAAUAUAUCCAAUUUAUUUUAUCCUGUGAUAUUCUGGAUAAUUAUGAGAUUAUUUAGAAUAUGUAGCAUGUGCAAUAAGCAAAUGUUUUUUGAAUAAUUCCAGAGUUACAUUAUUCUAAGGCUGUACAUGAGCCCAAAAAGCAUCACAGAUCUAAACUGUUUGGAGAGAUGGUAUAAGAGAGGUGAGUUAGAAGUCUAGCCUUUACUCCCAGGGAAGCCAGAAAGAGUCUGUCGAGGUUUUAAACUACAGUGAGGUUUUUGAGCUGCAGUUAAUUUAGAAUGAGUCAAUGAAAAUUCUAGACAAGCUCAAAUACUGAUGAGAUUGGUGCAGUUUAGUUAAAACCAUACAGUAGGAAAGAUAAUUUGGAUUAUAAAUUAAUUUUUAUUAACUGAGAUGAAGAUAUGUCUAAUGCUCUCAGAGAAGUUCCGGAUUAAAUGGCAAUUGAGUGACCAGGCAAGCAAGCAGCCCAGAGCUGGGACAGUAGAUGUCUGAUGUGCAGCAUUCUUGGUUUUUUGAGGCCAUGGUAUGUCUGUGGCACUGCAAGAUAACGCACCCACAGCUGUCCUUCAGAAACCUGCACACCUAACAACAUGGCAUCAGGGAGUACAUGGCAUCAGUUGUUAUGAUGUCCUUACAAUCCUGUUUGUGCUUUGUAGGUUCCCUGUGUGUGGUGAUUCAGGAGAAACCAAACUGCGCUUAGAGAGAAGAGGUCAAUGUUGGGCAGCAGGACUGGCCGUGGCCCUGGAGGAAAAGGUGGAUUCUGGAAUGUGAACAAAACUAAGUCCUGCUUUCCCAAACUAUCUCAGCUUUGAUUAGAUAUUUUGUACUUCUCAGAAUAAUACAACUGCAAAUCAUCUUCAAGAGACGAAGACUUAAUUCUGGCUAAUACUGCUACUCCUCAAAGGAUGAAUCUGAAGAGCAAGAAGGGUUCCAUUUGUCAUGUCCUGAUUGCUGCAUUCUUUGUCAAACACAACUUUCUAAAAGAAUCUGGAAGGAAUUGACUCCUUUGUGGUAACAGCUGGAAACAUUUAGAGGAUAAUUCUUCAGAGUGCAAGUUGAAGCAGGCUGAGGUAGAUUGAGAGUAAAUUCAAAGUUAUCCUUGCAGGUCUUAUUACAGCCCAAAUAAAGGUUGCUGGAUGAAAUCAA